rnacentral:rRNA from 1 species
GACGAACCGUGCAGACGUUGUUCGGAAUCACUGGGCUUAAAGGGCGCGUAGGCGGGCCAGCCAGUCUGUGGUGAAAGCCUCCAGCUUAACUGGAGAAGUGCCGUGGAUACUGCUGGCCUCGAGGAGGAUAGGGGCAUCUGGAACGGUCGGUGGAGCGGUGAAAUGCGUUGAUAUCGACCGGAACUCCGGUGGCGAAGGCGAGGUGCUGGGUCCUUUCUGACGCUGAUGCGCGAAAGCCAGGGGAGCAAACGGG